rnacentral:rRNA from 2 species
UAUAAGCAAUCUAUACUGUGAAACUGCGAAUGGCUCAUUAAAUCAGUUAUCGUUUAUUUGAUAGUACCUUACUACUUGGAUAACCGUGGUAAUUCUAGAGCUAAUACAUGCUAAAAACCCCGACUUCGGAAGGGGUGUAUUUAUUAGAUAAAAAACCAAUGCCCUUCGGGGCUCCUUGGUGAAUCAUGAUAACUUAACGAAUCGCAUGGCCUUGCGCCGGCGAUGGUUCAUUCAAAUUUCUGCCCUAUCAACUUUCGAUUGUAGGAUAGUGGCCUACAAUGGUUUCAACGGGUAACGGGGAAUUAGGGUUCUAUUCCGGAGAGGGAGCCUGAGAAACGGCUACCACAUCCAAGGAAGGCAGCAGGCGCGCAAAUUACCCAAUCCCGAUACGGGGAGGUAGUGACAAUAAAUACUGAUACAGGGCUCUUUUGGGUCUUGUAAUUGGAAUGAGUACAAUUUAAAUACCUUAACGAGGAACAAUUGGAGGGCAAGUCUGGUGCCAGCAGCCGCGGUAAUUCCAGCUCCAAUAGCGUAUAUUAAAGUUGUUGCAGUUAAAAAGCUCGUAGUUGAACCUUGGGCCUGGCUGGCCGGUCUGCCUCACCGCAUGUACUGGUUCGGCCGGGUCUUUCCUCCUGGGGAUCCGCAUGCCCUUCACUGGGUGUGUUGGGGAACCAGGACUUUUACUUUGAAAAAAUUAGAGUGUUCAAAGCAGGCCUUUGCUCGAAUACAUUAGCAUGGAAUAAUAGAAUAGGACGUGCGGUCCUAUUUUGUUGGUUUCUAGGACCGCCGUAAUGAUUAAUAGGGAUAGUCGGGGGCAUCAGUAUUCAGUUGUCAGAGGUGAAAUUCUUGGAUUUACUGAAGACUAACUACUGCGAAAGCAUUUGCCAAGGAUGUUUUCAUUAAUCAGUGAACGAAAGUUAGGGGAUCGAAGACGAUCAGAUACCGUCGUAGUCUUAACCGUAAACUAUGCCGACUAGGGAUCGGGCGAUGUUAUUCUUUUGACUCGCUCGGCACCUUACGAGAAAUCAAAGUCUUUGGG